AGUUGAGCGGAGAUAUAUGGAGCUUGCUUUAUAUAACUUAGCAGCGAACGGGUGAGUAACACGUAGAUAAUCUAUCCUAUACUGGGGGAUAGCCCGAUGAAAGUUGGAUUAAUACCGCAUAUAGCUAUAUAGUUGCAUGAUUAUGUAGUGAAAGAUUUAUUGGUAUAGGAGGAGUCUGCGGCACAUUAGCUAGUAGGUGAGGUAAAGGCUUACCUAGGCGACGAUGUGUAGCCGGUCUGAGAGGAUGAACGGCCACAAUGGAACUGAGACACGGUCCAUACUCCUACGGGAGGCAGCAGUGGGGAAUAUUGCACAAUGGGGGAAACCCUGAUGCAGCAACGCCGCGUGAGUGAAGAAGGUUUUCGGAUUGUAAAGCUCUGUUAGCAGGGAAGAGGAAGGACGGUACCUGCAGAGGAAGCCACGGCUAACUACGUGCCAGCAGCCGCGGUAAUACGUAGGUGGCAAGCGUUGUUCGGAAUAACUGGGCGUAAAGGAUGCGUAGGCGGUUAAACAAGUUAUAUGUUAAAUAUAUAGGCUUAACCUGUAGAAAGCAUAUAAAACUGUUUAACUAGAGUGCAGGAGAGGUAAGUGGAAUUCCUAGUGUAGCGGUGAAAUGCGUAGAGAUUAGGAAGAACACCAGUGGCGAAGGCGACUUACUGGACUGUAACUGACGCUGAGGCAUGAGAGCAUGGGGAGCAAACAGGAUUAGAUACCCUGGUAGUCCAUGCUGUAAACGAUGGGUAC
rnacentral:rRNA from 1 species